rnacentral:lncRNA from 1 species
UUGGUUUGUCCUACUUUAUGUGCAGGUGAGAGCGGUAGGAGCUGUGGAAAGAACCAGAGCAUGGUCUGUGUUCUCCACUGAAGUCGCUUGGCAUAAAUUUCACUAAAUCAAAGAUAAGCAGAUGCAAAGCAAAAAGAAAUCUCUUCCUCAUACCUCCUCUACCUGCCCACCCUCAGGCCAUCUGUCAAGAAAUGCUGAUCUUCUCUGAUCUUCUUUCCUGAGUUCUUUAACUUCUUCCACCUCUACACAUGUGUUGGCCAGCCUUGGGCUUUUCACUGAAAGGUCUUCCUGAGCAUUAAGGGAAUAACACAAAGGAAGAAAGGAUGGAGUUGCCAGACUGGCCACCCAUGCACUGAAACUUCCCCAAGGCCAUUCCAUGAAGCCCAUACAACGAUACCAUCAGUGCCUACAUAGGAGACACUAGACCUGCUUUGACUCAUGGAUGGAGUUAAUAUAGUGCCAAAUGUAAAGCCAGACUAUGCACAGUUGUAGGCUGGCUUCUCACAUCUGACGGCCAGGUGAGAAGUACCUGAAAGACAUUCUGUGCCACAGACAAGAUUUCUAGACUAAAGAGCUUUUUUGAUUAAAGAGAGGGUAAAAGGAGUCCAAACCCCUUUCUAAAAACCAUGCUCCUCAGGUUGUCUUGGCAAUUCUUUGAGAUGGUGAAUCUGAAGAAAAGCAACCCAGCAUUCAAAAAAGUCCGUAUUGCUGAAAUCUACAGAAAGUGCUGUUACUUAAGAAAGGGACCCCGUGCUACUGACCUCCAGUCAUCGAAGCCUUUCUCAAUGCACUUGCAGAAGAUUACACACACUAUUUGGAGGGAGAGGUGGAAGGAUAUUUUCCAUGUACUGUAAGAAUCAUCUGUCUUGGGAUUUCCAUGAGUUUUAGAGAUGAGAGGAUAUAUCACAAAAAAUAUUUACAGUAUGAGCAUUGCUGUCUCCUUGAGAGCAAUAUUAACCUUAAUACACUCUGAAAUAAAGCUAGUUACACCCAUAGAAAAAAUGCA